CGAAUUGUUUUUGUCGCGAGCGGUUGAUGUUAACAGGCGCUGCGCUUCGUAAAUUUCGUAUACGUUGAUUUGUGUAAACGCCAUUUGUGUGCGCGCGUGUGUGUAUGUAUUUGCAUGCUAGCGAGUUGUUUUUUGCGCCUCUGUACAGUUAAUAUUCAUAAUUUUCUGUAAAGCGGAGUGCACUCGUAGCAAACUAAAUUAGCGCAAAAUGUUGCCAAAACGUGUGCGAUAAAAGUGAAAGAAAAGUAAAACCCACAAAAAGUACAACAACAACAACAACAAACGAAGAAAAUUAAAGAAACGUAGCGCAGGGCCAGGCCAGCAACCAAAAACUGCGCGUGCCUGUCUCUGUCUCUUUCUGUGUGCCCGUGUGUGUGUUUGUGUGCGUUUGUGUAUUUGUGUGCGUUUGCAACAGAUGCUGCAAACGUUACGCUCUAUGCUUGUGUUGUUGUUGUGCAAAGACACCAACAGCAACAGCAAAAACAACGACGCCUAAAACGACAACAACAACCACGAAAUACGUCAUCAACAGCAAGCAACAACAACAGCAACAACAACAACAACCAUGUUCAAGUGCAUUCCAAUUUUCAAAGGCUGCAACAGGCAGGUGGAAUUCGUGGACAAACGCCACUGUUCGCUGCCCCAAGUGCCGGAGGAAAUUUUACGCUACUCGCGAACGCUCGAGGAACUCUUUUUGGACGCGAAUCACAUUCGUGAUCUGCCAAAGAAUUUCUUCAGAUUGAAUCGCCUGAGAAAACUGGGCCUGAGUGACAAUGAAAUUGGACGCCUGCCGCCGGACAUACAAAACUUUGAAAAUCUCGUGGAGCUCGAUGUUUCACGUAACGAUAUACCCGACAUUCCCGAUGACAUUAAGCAUCUGCAGAGCCUGCAGGUGGCCGACUUCAGCUCGAAUCCGAUACCGAAACUGCCGUCGGGCUUUUCGCAGCUGAAGAACUUGACCGUGCUGGGCCUAAACGAUAUGUCGCUUACCACAUUGCCCGCCGAUUUUGGCAGUUUGACGCAGCUCGAGUCACUGGAGCUGCGCGAGAAUCUGCUCAAGCAUUUACCCGAAACGAUAAGUCAGCUCACGAAGCUGAAGCGCCUGGAUUUGGGCGACAACGAAAUCGAGGAUUUGCCACCAUAUCUGGGCUAUUUGCCGGGCCUGCACGAGCUCUGGCUGGAUCACAAUCAGCUGCAGCGACUGCCCCCAGAGCUGGGCCUGUUGACCAAGCUAACCUAUCUGGAUGUGUCCGAAAAUCGACUCGAGGAGCUGCCCAAUGAGAUUGGCGGCCUGGUUAGCCUCACCGAUCUGGAUCUGGCACAGAAUCUGCUCGAGACUCUGCCCGAUGGCAUUGCCAAACUGAGCCGACUGACCAUACUGAAACUGGACCAGAAUCGCUUGCAGCGUCUGAACGAUACGCUCGGCAACUGCGACAACAUGCAGGAGCUUAUAUUGACGGAGAACUUCCUGUCCGAGCUGCCCGCUUCGAUUGGCAGCAUGAGCAAGCUGAGCAACCUGAAUGUGGAUCGCAAUGCCUUGGAGUAUUUGCCAAUAGAGAUUGGCCAGUGCAGCAAUCUGGGCGUGCUCAGUCUGCGCGACAACAAGCUGAAGAAGCUGCCGCCCGAGCUGGGCAACUGCACGGUGCUGCAUGUGCUCGAUGUGAGCGGCAACCAGCUGCUCUAUUUGCCCUAUUCGCUGGUCAAUCUGCAGCUGAAGGCGGUCUGGCUCUCAGAGAAUCAAUCCCAGCCGCUGCUCACCUUCCAGCCGGACACGGACGCUGAGACGGGCGAGCAGGUGCUCUCCUGCUACCUGUUGCCCCAGCAGGAAUAUCAGCCCAUUGCGCCAGAUUAUCCACCCCAGACGCUUUAUAGAUCAAGCGAAAAGUUCGAUUCGAUGGAUUUCUUCAGUUAUCAACAGAAAGCACGCGAUUUGGAAUCUGACUCGGAGCCCUAUGAGGAGCGCGAACCGUCACGCACCGUUGUCAAAUUCUCGGAGGAUGCCAGCCAGGAAAAGGAUACGCCAUUUGUGCGCCAGAACACGCCGCAUCCCAAGGACCUGAAGGCCAAGGCGCAGAAACUCAAAGUGGAGCGCAGUCGACACGAAGAGAAUGCCAAUUUGGUGGCACUGCCCGAGGAGAACGGCACCAAAUCAGUCGUGACAGAAACCCCCGCCGAGGCACGCACCGUGGCCAAUAGUCACCAACAGAUAGUCGUGACGGCCACCAAUAGCGCUACCACUGCGCAGCCAGUACAGAAACCUGCCACCGUGGUGAAUUCCAAACCUGUAACGGUUGGUGUCAUAACACCAACACCAACUGCAGCAGCGCCACAAACCGCACAGGGUGCCUCAGCAGCAGCGACGGCCAGAACCAACAGCGACAAUACAACAGCAACAGUUGCUCAGGCGGCUGACGCUGCGGAACAGGAAGACGAAUAUGAGACCGAUCGCCGCGUGGGCUUCCAGGUGGAGGGUGAGGACGAUGACUUUUACAAACGACCGCCCAAGCUGCACAGACGCGAUACGCCCCAUCAUUUGAAGAACAAGCGUGUGCAGCAUUUGACCGAUAAACAGGCCAACGAAAUCUUGGCCAAUGCUCUGGCCUCACAGGAGCGCGACUCGCCAGAGCCGCAGCAGUCGGUGGCCAAGGUGCAGUCGCCCAUUGAGGAGAAUGCCGAUGCCGAGCUGCUCGAACAGCAGCAGGAACAACAGGAGCAGCUGCAGCAACAACAGCAACCAUUUGACGCCUCGCUCUCCCCAAUCCCAGCUCCAAAGGCUGAGCCAGCGACCACCGCAGCAGACAACAUUGAUGGCGUGACGGAGCUGCGCCUGGAGCAGUACGAGAUACACAUUGAGCGCACCUCGGCCGGCCUCGGCCUGAGCAUAGCUGGCGGCAAGGGCUCAACGCCCUUUAAGGGCGACGAUGACGGUAUUUUCAUAUCGCGCGUCACCGAAGCGGGACCCGCCGAUCUGGCCGGCCUUAAGGUAGGCGACAAGGUGAUCAAGGUGAACGGCAUUGUCGUCGUGGAUGCAGAUCAUUACCAGGCCGUUCAGGUGCUCAAAGCCUGCGGCGCUGUGCUGGUGCUCGUGGUGCAGCGCGAGGUGACGCGCCUAAUUGGCCACCCCGUCUUCAGCGAGGACGGCAGCGUGUCGCAGAUCUCCGUAGAGACGCGUCCCCUGGUUGCCGAGGUGCCAGCUGUCAUACAGGAGCGCUACAUUCCGCCGCCCAUUCAAAUAGUUCCAGAACAGCAGCAGCAGCCCGUCCAGCAGUUGCAGCAGCCCGUCCAGCAGCUGCAACAGCUGGCGCCUGCCCAGGCACAUGGCUAUGCGGGCAAUGUGUUUGCCACGCCCACGCCAGCAAUAAAUGGAAUGCUGCUGGAGAACGGCAAGCUGGAUUUGGCGCCGUUAAGCUUUAUUCAAUUGCACACGACGCUCAUACGCGAUCAAAUUGGCCAGGGAUUGGGUUUCAGCAUUGCCGGCGGCAAGGGCUCACCGCCGUUCAAGGAUGAUUGCGACGGCAUUUUCAUAUCGCGCAUUACCGAGGGCGGGCUGGCGCAUCGCGACGGCAAAAUCAUGGUUGGUGACCGUGUUAUGGCGAUUAACGGCAACGACAUGACGCAGGCACAUCACGACGCGGCCGUCGCCUGCCUCACCGAGCCGCAGCGGUUUGUGCGCCUCGUUCUGCAGCGCGAAUACCGCGGCCCCCUUGAGCCGCCGACGAGUCCGCGCAGUCCGGCCGUGCUCAACUCGUUGAGCCCCUCCGGCUAUCUGGCCAAUCGACCAGCCAACUUUGGACGCUCUGUGGCCGAUGAGCAGCCCUACAAGUACAACACACUGGCCACCACCACGCCCAUGGCAACUGUGACGACAGGCGUUGUCCACAGCAACAACAACAACAACAACAAUAAUACGCUGCCCAGCAACAAGACUAACGGAUUUGCAACAGCUUCUGCUGUCCAUAAUGCUCCUUAUACUGCUGCUGCCCCAGCUGCUAUCCCAGUUGCUGCUGCUGCUCCUGCUCCCGCUUCACACAUUGACAAAUCCACGGGUCAGCCGGUGCCAGCACCACGUCGCACCAACUCGGUGCCUCUGGGCGAUGGCGACGGUGCAGUAAAUGGUGCCGCGUCCACCAGCAGCGGCGACUCUGGCGAGGCUCAGUCCUCAUCCCUACGGCCAUUGACCAGCGAUGAUUUUCAGGCGAUGAUUCCGGCACAUUUUCUCAGCGGCGGCAGUCAGCAUCAGGUGCAUGUGGGACGGCCCAAUGAGGUGGGCGUCAGCGCUGUCACUGUGAACGUGAACAAACCGCAACCCGAUUUGCCCAUGUUCCCGGCCGCGCCCACCGAGCUGGGCCGCGUCACCGAGACCAUCACCAAGUCCACAUUCACGGAAACGGUAAUGACGCGCAUCACCGACAAUCAGCUGGCGGAGCCAUUGAUCAGUGAGGAAGUGGUGCUGCCCAAGAAUCAAGGCUCACUCGGCUUCAGCAUCAUCGGCGGCACGGAUCACUCCUGUGUGCCAUUCGGUACACGCGAACCGGGCAUUUUCAUUUCACAUAUUGUGCCCGGGGGCAUUGCAUCCAAAUGUGGCAAGCUGCGCAUGGGCGAUCGCAUAUUGAAAGUGAACGAGGCAGACGUCUCGAAGGCCACACAUCAAGAUGCUGUAAUGGAGCUGCUGAAGCCUGGCGAUGAGAUCAAGCUCACCAUACAGCACGAUCCGUUGCCGCCUGGUUUUCAGGAAAUUUUACUUGCCAAGGCCGAAGGCGAGCGCUUGGGCAUGCACAUUAAGGGGGGCCUGAAUGGACAGCGCGGUAAUCCCACAGAUCCGUCUGACGAGGGCGUCUUCGUGUCUAAAAUUAACUCCGUGGGAGCGGCACGACGCGACGGAAGGCUUAAGGUGGGCAUGCGUCUGCUGGAGGUCAAUGGUCAUUCGCUUCUGGGCGCCUCGCAUCAAGAUGCGGUCAACGUACUGCGCACUGCCGGCAAUGAAAUUCAAUUGGUCGUCUGCAAGGGCUACGACAAAUCUAGUUUAAUGCAUUCCAUUGGCCAAGCGGGUGGCAUGAGCACCGGCUUUAACUCGUCUACAUCCUGCAGCGGUGGCAGUCGCCAAGGCUCUCGUGCUUCGGAAACAGGCUCGGAGCUUAGUCAAAGUCAGAGCGUCUCCAGCUUGGAUCACGACGAGGACGAGCGUCUACGACAGGACUUUGAUGUAUUUGCGGGACAACAGCCAGACAUUGUUGCCAUGCCGGAGCCCACUAGCCAAACAGGCCUGGCAGCUGCGGCUGCUCUGGUGCACGGGGCGCCUUCACCUACACCCACCACCCCGACGCCGCCCGCUGGGUCUGCGCCACAUGCCGACAUGGCACAGCCUGACACAGUGGCCGCGCAGACCGUGGCGCUUAUACACGCCGAACAAACGCACCAGCAGCAGCAGCCGCAAACGCAAGUGGCAACAAUUGGGCAGGAGAAGAGCACCCAGGAGAAGGUGCUGGAAAUUGUGCGCGCUGCGGAUGCCUUUACCACCGUGCCCCCGAAGUCACCAUCAGAGCAUCAUGAACAGGAUAAAAUACAAAAGACAACGACGGUUGUUAUAUCGAAGCACACGCUCGAUACAAAUCCUACCACACCCACCACACCCGCCGCACCUCUGCCGCUAAUGCCCGCGGAGUCAGCGACCGCUGCCCCUCCCGCUCCCGCAGCCGCGGCACCAGUUGCUGUUGCACAGACCCAGACACAGACCAAUUCCAGUCAGCAGACAGCCCAGCAGCAACAACAGCAGCGCGGCACGCAGACACCGGAACGCGUGGCGCCCGGAGCACGUUAUUCCUAUCAGCAAAUGCUGGAGAGCCAGGAGGAGAGCCGGGCGCCCACAACGCCCAAGAAGGCCGAGCCAGUGUACAUCAUAGACGAUGAGGAUGACGAUGAGGACGAAAUUGAUGCCAUUGCGGAGGAGGAUGAAUCCUCGCCGCCCGUCGAUAUACAGUCGCCGCCUUCGUACGCAGACACCGACUCCGAUUGCUUUGAGCGUCCGCGGGGACGCUAUACCAGCGACUCGGAGAGCGAUUGUCGCCCCUAUAAGCCGUCACGUUCCGGGCGCAGCACGCCGGAGUAUGCCGGUGGCCAUCGCAAGUCCGUCAGUUUCGAUCUGAGUGGAGACGAGCGCUCCAAGUCGGAUUAUGAGCGCUCGCGUUCCCGCACGCCGGAUCGCUUCACGCGCGCCUAUGACUCGGAGCAGGAUACGCGCACAAAGGCCAUUGGCCGCAUGCCGCGCAAGGGUAUCCUGCGCGCCACCAGUCCCAGCUCCUCGGCCAGCUCCACGCUGGAGCGUCGUCCCGAAAAGCCGCCGCCCAUCGUUCCGACCGUAGCACGCAUACGCGAGGUGGAAUCACCGCAGCUGCAGCGUGUUUCCCGGGCCACAUCGCCCGAGCGACCCGGUGAGCUGGAGCGCGAGAAUCCCUUCCGUCAGGUGGAGCCCUAUGAAGAUGACGAGUACACGCAAAUUGCCAAGGCAAUCAGCAUGUCGCCGCGCUCGCCGCGGGAUCAGUUCUUCUUUGGCGCCUCUCGCUCCAACGAGGAUCUGAUCGAGCAGUCGCAUUCCAGUGGCCGCAGCACGCCCAGCACGGUCAUAUCGAAGUCGACGGAGAACUUGACGGGCGCACGGCCCAAAGUGCCGCCGCCAACGCUGCCCAAGCCGCAGCUCAAGAAGGCCGAUCUGGUGCGCAACGUGGCGCUCGAGACCUUCCAGGCCACCGAUGUGGGCCAGGGCGACUUUGCGGUGUUCGAGCACGACCCCAGCACCAAUACCAUACACCAGGUGGCCAAGCUGCCCGUUCGCCUGGCCAGCAGCAAGUCGUCCAGGCCGCGUGAGAGUCCGCCGCCGCCGCCCGUCAACUACUCGACGCUGCCCAAAUCGCCGCUGCCCAAGCUGGCGGCUGCGCUGCUGGAGGAAUCCGCCUAUAUGGAGGCGCUGCCGCCAGCACAGCGGCGUCCCAAUGAUUUCGUGCACGAGAACUCGCCGGACAAUAUAUUGGUAACGCCGGAGCAGCAUCGGGAUUUCUUGCUGCGCGAAAACGAGAUGAGGAAUCAGCUGCGCGCUCCCUACGAGCCGGCGCCGCCCAUACCCAUAGCAGCCGGCAGCGGCGGGGGCGACAGCAGCAACUAUGCGCCGCAGCAGCUGCUGUUGGGGCCCGCAACGCCCGCGCAAAUCUUUCCCGCGGCCCAAAUACUGCCCGUGCAAUAUGCCAGCCUCCCGCAGCCGCAGCAGCCCAAUAAGCUUAGGUUGGGCGGUGCGGCCACGCCGCAGCCCGUGUUCAACGUGCUGCUGCUGCCGCCCGGCGAUCAGCGCCAGGUGGCUGCCGGUGACGGUGCCGGUGCCGGCUCCUCCGCAGCUGGGCCGCUUUAUCUGCAGGCGUCACAGUUACCGCCAUCACCUGCGGCCGAGAAUGCGCCGGCCGUGGCCACACCAACACCCACAAAAGUGCCUAAAUCGGUAUCCGAUAAAAAACGAUUCUUUGAGUCUGCCAUGGAGGAUCAACACAAGCCCACACAAAAGACAGAUAAAGUUUUUUCGUUCCUGUCAAAGGACGAAGUCGAAAAGUUGCGGCAGGAAGAGGAAAAGAAAAUUGCAACAUUGCGUCGUGAUAAGAAAUCCAGAUUAUUAGAUGCUGCCAAUGACAACAUUGACAAGGACGACGAUGGCAGGCAUCCUGAUAAGCAACAGGAUACCGCUGACAACAGCAGCGGCAGCAGCGAAUACAACAGCGACGACGACGACGACGACGAGGACCACAACGAACUGCAGGCAAGCGGCCGCAGGGAUGUCGUUGACAAUGUUGUGCGGGCGCAGUUCGAUGAUGCGGAGGACAUGAGAACCGCACAAGCUCAAGCGCAGACAACGCACGCGCCUAGCAAAAUACCCAAGCAGCUGCGGCAGCAGCGCGCCAAGGCCACGCCCACUGCGGCACCUGCUAGCGAUACGCCCAAGCCGUCACUGCUGCCCAAGCCAAAGGUCAAAGUUGUGAUGCCGCCCGCGCUGCAGCAACGUCUGUGGCAGCAACAGCAGCAAUCUCAGCCCGAGGAGCCAACCAUACACGAGGAGGAGCAGCCUGCCACGCCCAGCGGCGGCUCGGGCAGCCGCAUACCCGUGCGCACACUGAAGGCAGAACGCCGCGCCCUGGCAGCAGCUGCACGCCAGGCAGGCCUCACUGUGGACGACUACCUCCAACAGCUGGAGGAGGAGCAGCAGCUGGAGCUGGGCGCCUCGCCCGCAACGCCAGCGGGCAAGAGCCGCGCCAUGAUGAACGCUGAGAAGCGUGCCUCUUGGCGUGCCGCACGUUUGCGCUCCUUGGAACAGGGCGCGGUCGAGGCGCAGGAUGUGAUCAAGAACAUGCGCAAGAUGACCGACGAUUUGAUCACACACGAGUCCAGAGCCAGCGAGCCGAAAAUAGUCUUUCCAAAAAUUGCCAUAAAAUCAAGCGAUGGCCCGGUCAUCGUGCGCGAACGCGAGAAAAUACUCGAUGAGAAAAUUGUGCGGCGCACUGAGGAGGUGCCCUGCCCCAUAACGGGGCAACCUCAAUUGCGCACCGUCGAGUACAUUGAGAAAAUCAUCGAGACGGAGGUGGAGACGUGCAAGGAGCGCAUCAUUUCAUUGGAGCUGCAGGUGCCUGAGGCGGAAGAAGGUACACUUGAUGAUACACAGCCGCCGCUGGAACUGCAGGCAGAUGAUGAUUUCGACAACGAUGAUUACGAUGAUGAGGAUGAUGAUGAUGAAGAGGAGGAGGAGGAGGAGGAGGACACUGCCUCCAUUGUUACGGUGCAAGCAAACAACGAGAAAUUGUUUCUUCGCCACGAUGCAGAUGCCUAUGGCCCAUCCUCCAUUGACAGCGUCUCGUCGGGCAAGGUACGCAUUAAAGCAACGCCGCUGACACUACACCAGACGCUGGCCAAAGAGACGACCAUUGUGGAGGUGCUAAAUCCUGUCAUUGGCGGCGACGGCUGCGCCCGAACUAUACAAGUGAGUGGUAUGCCCUUCGACAUGGAUGAGCUGGAGGAGGGCGCGACCUCGCUGCUGCGCAGCGAAACUUUUGUGUUGCCCACUGGCGGCAAGUCGGAGCUGUCAUUAAAUGCAAAAAUGAAGAAUGUGCUCGAGGAGCUGCUAGAGAAUGAGCGCGUUAAAUUGAAUUUGCAAAAGAGCCUCGAGGAGCACAGUGACAAUGAGAACGACGAGGAGGGCGAAACUGAGAACGUCUAUGUGGAUGCACGCGACGACGAUGAGAGCGCCUAUGGUGACGCCAUAGAUGAUGUUGUUGACUUUGGCGCAGCAGUUGUGCCGACGGGCAAAACUAAAGGCCAGGACGAUGCCAAGAACGGCAAUCAGCAGUUGCUGGAAGCGUUGAUCAGGGACAGUAAUCGCAAUACCAUAAUGGGUAAAUUGGCCAGUCAAUUGGCCGACGACGACGACGACGAUGACGAGCAGGACGACGACGAGGAGGAAGACGAAAGUAGCGAUUCCUCGGACGACGAUAGCGAUGACUCCGAUGAGGAGGACAAUGCCGAGCAGCAAUUAAACAUUGCCUACGUGCAGGGCGCGCAGGUAAUCGAGAAUCUCAACACUGUGGCUGCGGGCAACAAGCUGCAAAAGUCACAGACAUACAACACCAUGAAGCAAGCUGAACAGGAGGAACAGGAACAGGCAGCGGAGGAGGAGCAAGCAGGCGGCAAUACCCUGGCCCAACUGCAGGCCGAGCAGCGUGCACUGGCCGAGAUCUCAAAACAGCUGCGCAAGUCUGUCGAGGAUUUGCUAAGCGCCGACGGCGACUCGGUGGUGGAAACCCAGCGCACCUACACGCUGCCAGCUGCCAGCGACAGCAAAGCCGUCGUCACCGUCACCGAGGUGGUAAAGAAGCAAAAGAAAACGGCACGGCAAUCGGGCGCCGGCGAAUCUGGCGAGGCUAUAUUCAAUCGCCUGCUCAGCGCCGGCGAGUCCGAGCGCCAAAUCUUCGAUCGGCAGCAGGGCGAAACCAUCACAACCACAACCACUGAGGCCUUGCCCGCCGCCGCGGCAGCCGCCGCAGCCGCAGGCGAGCCCAGCACCAGUGUGGUGACCACAACGCGCACAGUCUCCAACAUUGUCACCAGCGGCAUACCGAGGCUCGAGGCGAGCAAGCAAACCAGUCGCAGCAGCAACAACAACAACAACAACAGCAACAACAACAAUCGCAGCAAAAACAAGCGCAAAGGCAAAAAGAAAUAGGCAAUAGAUGUCGACAAAUUGCGCAUACGACACAUGGUCUGUAUGGGAUUUAACUAGGCAUGUACACAAAUAUUCUCACGAGCCCUUCACCAGCAGCCCCUCCCCCACAUAGACAUAGACAGUCACAUAUCAGCGCAUUAAGGAGCAUUUAACAAUGUGCCGUUAUACAUAAUGUAUCAUUAUAAAUAAAGAAAAACUCGCCGUUAGCUGGUCAAAAGUUAUUUCGAUGGUCCCCGUAUACAAAAUUAAUAACCCCGAGCAUUCCGACUGUCCAUUCUAUGCUGGACAAUAAUAUUAAGGUCUAGCUCUAAUCAAAUAUAACAAGUUUAUUAAUACAUAAUAUUCGCAGUAUGUAUUUAUUGGUGUUGCAUUAUUCUAGUUACUGCAAUCUUGUGGUCGGUGUACAACAACUUACGAGAUAGUCAGUCUACAAAUGCAUUAACUAAACUGUAAUUGUAAAAAAAAUCAAUCCGAGCAAAUGAUUAAAUAUUUACCUAUAUGAUAUGUAUUUAGCGUGUAAGCAAACAAACUUUUUAUAAACCGACAAAAAACAAACAAACAAACAUUGUUGCAAUGUAAUAAACAAUUCAAUUUAUUUUUUAUUUUUAAA